CUAGAACCUUAUCGGAAAGAAGGUUGAUCUC
rnacentral:sRNA from 1 species